rnacentral:rRNA from 1 species
GAGUUUGAUCGUGGCUCAGAUUGAACGCUGGCGGCAUGCCUUACACAUGCAAGUCGAACGGCAGCAUGAUCUAGCUUGCUAGAUUGAUGGCGAGUGGCGAACGGGUGAGUAAUACAUCGGAACGUGCCCUGUAGUGGGGGAUAACUAGUCGAAAGAUUAGCUAAUACCGCAUACGACCUGAGGGUGAAAGUGGGGGACCGCAAGGCCUCAUGCUAUAGGAGCGGCCGAUGUCUGAUUAGCUAGUUGGUGGGUAAAGGCCCACCAAGGCGACGAUCAGUAGCUGGUCUGAGAGGACGAUCAGCCACACUGGGACUGAGACACGGCCCAGACUCCUACGGGAGGCAGCAGUGGGGAAUUUUGGACAAUGGGCGAAAGCCUGAUCCAGCAAUGCCGCGUGUGUGAAGAAGGCCU